rnacentral:rRNA from 1 species
GACGAACGCUGGCGGCGUGCCUAAUACAUGCAAGUCGAGCGAAGCGGCGGAUGGGUGAGUAACGCGUGGGUAACCUGCCCUUAAGUCUGGGAUACCAUUUGGAAACAGAUUCUAAUACCGGAUACUUAAGGAUGUACCUGCGAUGCAUUAGCUAGUUGGUAAGGUAACGGCUUACCAAGGCGAUGAUGCAUGGACGAGUAUAGAGACUGAUCGGCAACAGUGGGACUGGGACGUGGUCCAGACUCCUACGGGAGGCAGCAGUGGGGAAUAUGGCACAAUGGGCGCAAGCCUGAUGCAGCCAUGCCGCGUGUAUGAAGAAGGCCUUCGGGUUGUAAAGGACUUUCAGCGAGGAGGCGUUACUCGCAGAAGAAGCACCGGCUAACUACGUGCCAGCAGCCGCGGUAAUUC